AGUCAGUUUCUAUCAUUUCCCAUCCCAUAUAGAAAGGGAAAGAGAAAAAGAAAGAGAAAGAAAAAGAGAGAAAGAUAAAAACUUGUAGAGAAAAAAGAGGAAAUGAGAGGAGGAAAUGGUGUAUUGUCACCGGCCAAACAAGCGGAGUUACUCAAGAAAGACGGCAACUCAUACUUCAAGAAAGAUCGUAUUGGAGCCGCCAUUGAUGCUUAUACAGAGGCAAUUACGCUAUGCCCAAAUGUUCCUGUGUAUUUGACGAAUCGUGCUUUGUGUCAUCGCAAGCGGAAAGAUUGGCUAAAAGUCGAGGAAGAUUGCCGGAAAGCUAUUCUGCUUGACAACUCUUGUGUUAAGGCUCACUAUUUGUUGGGACUUGCAUUGCUACAGAGGCAAGAAUAUGUUAAAGGAGUCAAAGAACUUCAGAAGGCUUUGGAUCUGGGAAGGGGUGCUAACCCAAAGAGCUACAUGGUGGAGGAAAUCUGGCAGGAACUCGCAAAAGCAAAAUACUUGGAGUGGGAGAAUGAAUCGACCAGUCGUUCAUGGGAACUGCAAAGCUUGAAAGAAGCUUGUGAGACUGCUCUUAAAGAAAAACAUAUACGUGACAUUUCUCAAAUGGAAGGGUUCCUGGAUGAAUCUGAAAAAUCUCUUACUUCCCACUUGGAACAUUUAGAGACUCUAAGAAGAGUGUUUAGAGAAGCUGCAGAGGCUGACUGUCCGACAGAGGUGCCAGACUACCUCUGUUGUAAAAUCACGCUUGAUAUUUUCCGUGAUCCUGUCAUCACUCCAAGUGGGGUAACAUAUGAGAGAGCAAUGAUUCUUGACCAUCUUGAGAAGGUGGGUAAGUUUGAUCCAGUCACUCGUGAACCACUUGACCAGUCCCAGCUGAUACCAAACUUGGCUAUAAAGGAAGCAGUGCAAGCAUUUCUAGAAGAACAUGGUUGGGCCUACAAGACAGACUGAAAGUUUGUGCUCAUCAUGUAGACUAUAAUGGGGUCUCACUGCAGUAUUCUUUUUUUGCCUUCACCACCUCCAUUUGUCGAUCACGGUGAUUCGCUCGCUUAUCAUCCAUUGGUGACAACCAGACUUUGGCCAUCAAUUGUGAGCUGUCGCUGGCUGCCACCCGCAUGCUUUCAUCAUAAUCAUCUUCGACCAACUACCAUUGUUGCCACCACUACUCUUCUCCCCUGAACUAUUAUUAUUGUUGAGAAUAUUUAAUACAACCAAAUGUUAAGAAAAUAAUUUUAAGAGUUCGGAAAAUAAUUCAUUUUCCAAUUAAAAAUAUUUUUUUUGUUGAAAUAAAUGGGGUUUAAGUUAA